rnacentral:rRNA from 2 species
GACGGAGGGUGCAAACGUUGUUCGGAAUCACUGGGCGUAAAGGGCGCGUAGGCGGACUUGUAAGUCGGGAGUGAAAACUCGGGGCUCAACCCCGAGCCUGCUUCCGAAACUGCGAGUCUUGAGGACCGGAGAGGAAAGUGGAAUUCCUAGUGUAGCGGUGGAAUGCGUAGAUAUUAGGAAGAACACCAGUGGCGAAGGCGACUUUCUGGACGGUUCCUGACGCUGAGGCGCGAAAGCUAGGGGAGCAAACAGG